rnacentral:ncRNA from 1 species
GUGUUGUAGGGAAAGAGGGAAGGUUAACGCCACCCUUGACGAGGGCAUAAAACACACAGCCAGGUAAAGCCUUGCCACCUACUUAGUCGCAACUGCUGUUUUUU